GGUUUAUUGGUCCAGCGGAAUGGAUUCCUGCUUGUCACGCAGGCGACCCGGGUUCGACUCCCGGAUAGACCU
rnacentral:tRNA from 1 species